UGGGGAAUUUUCCGCAAUGGGCGAAAGCCUGACGGAGCAACGCCGCGUGAGGGAUGAAGGCCUCUGGGCUGUAAACCUCUUUUCUCAAGGAAGAAGACAUGACGGUACUUGAGGAAUAAGCCACGGCUAAUUCCGUGCCAGCAGCCGCGGUAAUACGGGAGUGGCAAGCGUUAUCCGGAAUUAUUGGGCGUAAAGCGUCCGCAGGCGGCCUUGUAAGUCUGUCGUUAAAGCGUGGAGCUUAACUCCAUUUCAGCGAUGGAAACUACAAGGCUUGAGUGUGGUAGGGGCAGAGGGAAUUCCCGGUGUAGCGGUGAAAUGCGUAGAUAUCGGGAAGAACACCAGUGGCGAAGGCGCUCUGCUGGGCCAUAACUGACGCUCAUGGACGAAAGCCAGGGGAGCGAAAGGGAUUAGAUACCCCUGUAGUC
rnacentral:rRNA from 1 species